rnacentral:tRNA from 1 species
GGGCAGAUGGCCGAGUGGUCUAAGGCGCUGCGUUUAGGACAUUUCUAAACAUCCUCCGCAGUCAGUAAUGGCGUGGGUUCGAAUCCCACUCUGCUCA